UAACUUGUUGCUUUUCCCUUGCUGCUUUUAAUAUUCUCUUUAUCUUUAAUUUUUGCCAUUUUAACUACCAUGUGUCUUGCUGUGGUCCUCUUUGAGUUGAUCCUAUUUGGGACUCUGUGUGCUUACUGGACCUGGAUGUCUGUUUCCUUUCCCAGGUUAUGUUUCCUGGCCUUGGAGAAGUAGCCUUUGGUAGGAGAUGUCCUAUGCAACCGAGGAGCUCUGCUGCCAGUGUCUAUGCCCCCAGAUUGCCUCCUGCCUCUUCGGGAGGUCCUCCAAGAUUUGCAGUGCACCGCUUGCAGGAUCUCAGUGCCCCGACCAGGGAUUGAACCCAUGUUCCCUACGGUAGAAGCACUGAGUCUUAACCACCGGACCGCCAAGGAAUUCCCCUCAAACAUUUUAAGCGUUCAGUUACACGAGGAGUUUGGAAUUCUGUCGUAAUAGUCUUCCUCAUGGUAAUUGAUGAAGCAUGAUAUGAAUAUUAGGACUCUAUGUGUCAUAAUAGGAGAGUGCAAUAUUGUGAAAAGUUCAUAGAUCUGGAAUCAGAAAGGUCUGGCUUUGAAUCCGGAGUAUUUGACCUUGAACAACAUCUACAAAAUGGGGAUAAUAGUAACUUUGAAUGAUUCUGGUGAAGAAUAUACUAACUAAUGUAUGUAAUGUGUCUAAUACAGUGUCCAGCUAUAAUAAAUGCUCAAUUUAUUGUAGAUUAAUUAUAAUGAAUAAUAAUGGCUAUUAUUUUAAAAUUAUAUAUACAUGUAUAUGUAUAUUUCCUUAUUUAAUAAAAAUCAUUCUAUUGGGCAAGACAA